rnacentral:rRNA from 1 species
UAGGGAAUAUUAGUAAUGGGCGAAAGCCUGAACUAGCAACGCCGCGUGUGCGAAGAAGGCCUUCGGGUUGUAAAGCACUUUUUGAGAGGAUGAGGAAGGACGGUACUCUCAGAAUAAGUCUCGGCUAACUACGUGCCAGCAGCCGCGGUAACACGUAGGAGGCGAACGUUAUCCGUAUUUACUGGGCGUAAAUCGCGUGUAGGUGGUUUGGUAAGUAGGGCGUGAAAUCUCCUGGCUCAACUGGGAGAGG